UAGUGUUAGCUGCGGUUAGCCUUCAAGCUAGCCGUCGUAAUGAUAACCAGUCGAGUCCGUUUCUUGAAUGGGGUAGCUAGCUAGUUUCUGCCCGCUAGCUACUCAUUCGAGUGACACUGAAUUGUGCCUGCCAUGACGACGCAGCCACAGAUGCAUACUCAAGUAGGCCGUUGUUAUGGCGAUGUCAAAUGCAAAAGGGGGAUUCCCAGUUCUUGUAAUGGCCACCUCAGGCUACAUAGGUGAGAUACAGCCAGCAGCCCAACCCCAGGGGGCUGGUGUUAGCGUCACACCGGGGCCACCUGAUGCCAGUUCUACCCCUGCAACUGCCCCUCAGUUUCUGGCUGAGAUUCAGACUGUGGUGGCCACACCCACUGUUGUCACAUCCACAGGCCAAACUACUCCCAGUGAUCAAGUUACCACUAUCACCACUCCCAAGCUGGCAGAUGAUAGUCUAGCCCAAUCCACAGCACAGACCCAGGCUCCUCAAACACAGUAUGUGACUGCAGAGAUCCAGGGCUCCCCCUCGCAAUCUGGAAAUGCUCAAAGCACUCCUCAGUACAUUGUCGUUACAGUCACAGAGGGCUCCCUUCACUCAAGUGACAGUGUGUCGGACUCUAGCCCCCCUCCAGCUGUGGUGCAAACAGGAGUUCCCACCCAUGUUGUUCAGCAGGUUCAGACGGCUCAACAGAGGUCUGUUGUGCAGGCCACCUCACAAAUAGCCAAGACUGAGCCAGGCACUCAGCUCAGUGUUACCAGUCUGCAGCCUGUUCAUAUCAGUCAGGAGCUCCCUAGCACCGAGGUGACAGCGUUAGUCAGGGAUAACAAUCUAGAAGAAUGCCAGCUACAACAUGAGAUAGGACAGCCAGAGUGCCAGGCCUGGGCAUCAGCAGACUACGAAAGGGAAUGCUGCUGCAAGCCUCUCUACCUCCCAUUGGACUUCCUUCAGUGUUACCAAUCACUGUACCUGCUCUCUGUGCAAGAGAAAGAGAUAGGAGCCCACCCUUCAGUCACAAGCUCAGGCCCCGAUAAGCCACCACUGCAGGCUACAACUACCACUUGCCAAGUUCAGCAGCAGCUCACACCAGUGCCAGUGCAACAUGUGUACGCCAAUCAAGUGCAGUAUGUGGAAGGAGGAGAGACCAACUACGCCACCAGCACAAUCCGUUCCAGCGCCUUUCCUUACACUGACACAACCUUGUACACCCAGACCACAGCUGCCCAAUAUUAUGAAGGUCAGCCAACUACAGGCUCAUCCACCCCUGGCACACCUCUAACCGUCUCUGUGACUGCUGGCACAACAGGGGGUGUGUCCAUGUUUGUUGCCCAGCCUACCAGUGCACCAGGGGGAGGGGCCACAGUGGUGACCACAGGUGGCACCACCAAUGGGGCAGGUGAAGCAGCAGGCACCAACGGUGGCGCAGCAGGCAGCUAUGUGAUCCAGGGGGGUUACAUGCUAGGCAGCAGCGGAGGGGCAGCUGGCAACAGUCAGAACUACUCACACACAGCCCGCGCCUCCCCAGCCACUGUGAGUAUUACAGAGGGCGAGGAGAGUAGCGUGCCGUCGGCAGACAAGAAGGUACAGUGGUUGCUGGACAACUAUGAGACAGCUGAAGGAGUGAGUCUGCCACGUUCCACCCUCUACUGCCACUAUUUGCUGCACUGCCAGGAGCAGAAACUAGAGCCUGUCAAUGCUGCCUCUUUUGGGAAACUCAUUAGAUCUGUAUUCAUGGGGCUACGCACACGACGCCUGGGGACACGGGGUAAUUCCAAAUACCACUACUACGGGCUGAGGAUCAAGGCGGGCUCCUCUCUUCUCCGUCUGAUGGAAGACCAGCAACAUCUGGCCAUGAGGCAACAGCCCUUCUCACAGAAACAGAGGUUAAAGCCUGUGCAUAAAGUCGAGGGAAUGACCAAUGGCACCGCAGCAGCAGCAGGAGCAGGCCAGCAGCAGGGGUCAGGGCAGGUGGACAUCAGCACCCAGGUUCAGCAGUACCAGCAGUUCCUAGAUGCAUCACGCGCUCUCCCAGAGUUUCCAGACAUCGACCUCCAAGGGAAGUCUCUGCCAGAGGGAAUUGAGGUGGAGCACAUAAAGAGCUUUCAGCUGCUGUACAGAGAACACUGUGAGGCCAUACUAGACGUGAUGGUCAACCUGCAGUUUACUCUGGUGGAAACUCUGUGGAAGACCUUCUGGAGGUUCAGUCAAAGUCAGGCUGGAGAUGCCACAUUGGCUGUUCACGAUGAGUCAGAAAAGCGCCUCCCGAAGUCCUGCCUGGUGUUGCUGUGCAAGUAUGAUCCGGUGCUGCGCUGGAGUCGGGACUGUGACAACAGCUUGUACCAGGGCCUGGUGGAGAUCCUCAUCCCUGAUGUCCUCAGGCCCAUUCCCAGUGCCUUAACUCAAGCCAUCCGCAACUUUGCCAAGAGCCUGGAGAGCUGGCUGACCAAUGCCAUGAUGAACAUCCCAGAGGAAAUGGUCCGCAUCAAGGUAACAUCAGCCAAUGCAUUUGCCCAGACUCUGCGUCGCUACACCAGUCUGAACCACCUCGCCCAGGCAGCCCGUGCCGUCCUCCAGAACACGGCCCAGAUCAACCAGAUGCUCUCCGACCUCAACCGCGUUGACUUUGCUAAUGUCCAGGAGCAGGCUUCAUGGGUGUGCAGGUGUGAAGACCGUGUUGUUCAGCGGCUGGAGCAGGAUUUCAAGCUGACCCUCCAGCAGCAGAACUCCCUGGAGCAGUGGGCUGCGUGGCUUGAUGGUGUAGUCUCCCAGGUCCUAAAGCCCUACCAGCAGAGCCCUGCCUUCCCAAAGGCCGCCAAGCUCUUCCUACUCAAGUGGUCCUUUUACAGUUCCAUGGUUAUCAGGGACCUGACUCUGAGGAGUGCAGCCAGUUUUGGUUCCUUCCACCUGAUCCGCCUGCUGUAUGAUGAGUACAUGUACUACCUGAUAGAGCACAGAGUGGCCCAGGCUAAAGGAGAGACCCCCAUUGCUGUCAUGGGAGAGUUUGCCAGUUUAGGCCGGGGUCUAAACCAGCUGGAUCCCGACAAAGAAGAGGAAGAGGAAGAGGAAGAGGAAAGUGAUGAGGAAGGUCAAGAGCUCUCCCUUCCCUCAGACGGGGCUGUGCUAGGAGACGAGUCUCUGGAGCCGCCUGCCAAGCUGGCCAGAAUAGACCAGAGAGUCCUCUUCACAACCGGAUCAGCUGACAACUAACCACAGAGUAACACUAUCAGACCAGUGGGUUGAUUAUAUUGAUUAUGCACGCACAAACAGAUGUACAAAGAACACUAAUUUAUACACUCAACACAUGUAUAUAGAUCUGGAAAAAGUGUGUGUACACUCUUGCGGCAUACUGUAACGGCCCUAUUUGUUUACACACACACACACACACACACACAAUCCAAACAUUCAGUACUGCUGUUGCCUGGAUGACACAACCACCUGUUGGCACCAUUGCAAUAGGAUGUGGCUUCAAAAGAGAAACAGAGCAUUUAACCCUUAGUUGUAUUGGUUUGUAAAAAAAAAAGUAACUAAAGCCAGGCAUUUUUUUUCUCUCAUUGCAUUGCAACCUGCAGCUGCGCUGUCUCCUCGCUGAGAACCUCAUCGUAGAUCCUCCUAGAAUUGCCACUGCCGUGUCAAUGUGGUCUUGAAAAUACUGUGUGUGUGUGCGUGUGCGUGUCCGUGUGCGUGUGCGUGUGCGUGUGCGUGCAUCUGCAAAAGUAACUUCUACAGGACGAGGGUGCAAAGUGAACCUUUGACAACUAACAGCUAGCGUAGCUGUCUCCUUCUGAUGGGAAGAGAGACUGCAAGCGGUAGGGAUGUUUGGGUGGUUUGUUCUUUGUUUGUGUGUUUUUCAUUUGAGCACUAGGGUCACACCACUCUGCUGUUACAUUUGGAGGCUGACUGAACAUGCCUUUCCGUGAUGGUGUGUGUACAUGUGUGUGUCUGGCUGUGUGACUAUGAGUCAUGCCAAGUGUUGACUGUUUCCUCUGUAGAUAUUUUUUAAGACAUGCAGGUUUUGAUUUGCGAUACAUGUGUAGAUUUCCUGCUUGAUUUUAUUCUCCUGUAUAGAAAUGUUCUUGUGUUCUUGGAGUGCCUGUCGCAGCUGCUACACACACACUUGUAAAGAAAAAGGUAUGGCUGUGGAUUUUGGGGCUCUCAUUAGUUGCUGCAAAAAUCCCUCUCUCUUUUAUUUAAGAUCUGGAUCUAUGAGAGAGGUACUGUAUGUGUCAUAUUUUUAUGUUCAAAGUGCUUCAUUCCUUCCCAUCCAAUCCUCUGUGGCCUCAUUUUCCUUUGACAUACUGUAUCAUUUUCCCACCUUAUUUCAAUAUACCUUUUCAUAUUUGUGCCAAACCCGUUUGAUCCCUGUUUUCUUUUAAAUUCUCUUUCUAUGUUUUAAGGAGGACAGUGCCUGAGUAAGAACGGGGAUAAACUUAUAUUCUACUGUAUAUUUAUCCACUAUUUUGAAUUUUGUUGUCACUAAGUGAACCUCUUGUGCAGUGUAUGGUGCUGUGUUGUCACACAUUGUAAGCAACCUUUGUGUGGAUUAUUGAUUUGUGAUUGUACGUUAGGUUAUCAAUCCUCUAUAUCCUAUGACUUUUCCACAAACAGGCUAAGGCCCUGCCUCUUUGCACAUAUUGACUAAUGUCUUUAAAUCUCUGACAGUUAUCUGAAAUGUUUUUCAUUUUCUUAGAAGUCUUUGGUGUGUUCUUUUUAUUGGUGAGGUGCAGGUGUCAGAUUUGCGAGCAAACAUCUCGUCACCACUCUGUGUGGUGAAAGGUGUGAUUGCUCUUUCUGCGCAGUCCUCCACCGACACCCAUCUCCCUCCACUGUGCUUUCAUCUCACUGCGUUUCCGACCUCCCGCCAUAGGCUUUGUUUUGCUUCAAACAUCCAUAUUCUUAAACACUGUACGUCAAGAUUGGUUGUUAUAAACAUGUCAUUUUGGGAUUUUUGAAUGCAAUGUCUUUAAAGAGCUGCAAUGUUCAUGUUUUCAACAAGCAUUGUCAGCCUCAAACCAGCACAUUAUCCUUUAUAUGGAGUCUAAUUCUACCACAGCUCAGUACAUAUCACUCCGGUCUUUUAAUGAUCUACAGCAAAUAGAAUGGCAAUUGUUUACCCAAUAAGAAAAAUGUUUAGUUAAUUUUUAUAGUGCAUUGUUUCUUAUGUACAAAACAAAAUGAGAAAAAACGUUGUUCCGUGGCAGUGUUUAAUUGAAUUUGGUCUGCUAUAAGUAUGACUGUGCCUUUGGAGGUGGUAGAAUGCAAUUCAGAUGUUUUUAAUUUUAAAGAUAUAAAUUAAAGAAUUUUUAAAAUUGCA